rnacentral:rRNA from 1 species
UACGAAGGGGGCUAGCGUUGCUCGGAAUCACUGGGCGUAAAGGCGCGUAGGCGGCCAUUCAAGUCAGAGGUGAAAGCCCCAAGGCUCAACCUUGGAACUGCCUUUGAUACUGUUUGGCUUGAGACCGGUAGAGGUAAGUGGAACUGCGAGUGUAGAGGUGAAAUUCGUAGAUAUUCGCAAGAACACCAGUGGCGAAGGCGGCUUACUGGACCGGUUCUGACGCUGAGGCGCGAAAGCGUGGGGAGCAAACAGG